CGGUGCACUCUGCUGUUUCCAGGCCAGCAUCGGUUUGGGUAGUUAGUUAAAGGCCGGGGGAAUGUAUCUGCCCUUCGGGACAGACUUAUAGCCCUUGGUGACAUCUAGCUUACCUGGACCGAGGAACGCGCUUCGGCACGGAUGCUGGCGUAAUGGUUGUAAGCGGCCCGUCUUGAAACACCGGACCAAGGAGUCUAACAUCUAUGCGAGUGUUUGGGUGUCAAACCCCUGCGCGUAAUGAAAGUGAACGGAGGUAGGAGCCUUUGGGCGCACUAUCGACCGAUCCUGAUGUCUUCGGAUGGAUUUGAGUAAGAGCAUAGCUGUUGGGACCCGAAAGAUGGUGAACUAUGCCUGAAUAGGGUGAAGCCAGAGGAAACUCUGGUGGAGGCUCGCAGCGGUUCUGACGUGCAAAUCGAUCGUCAAAUUUGGGUAUAGGGGCGAAAGACUAAUCGAACCAUCAGUUUUUGGUUGUCAGGUGGUUCAGCCAAGAGAUUUUAUCUCUUAACAGUCCAUAUGGGCAACGUCCUUAGUAUGUAUGGGAACCGAAUUUAUAACGGAAUCCACAGCAGCGCUUAAGUAAUGCUGUUUACAGACUAAAGAGGGGCGGUCGGUUAAACAUAGUUAAAAGCCGAUAAAAAUAUAGUCGGAAAGAAUUUGAUGUUGGUUGUAGUAGAUGGUUAAGUCUUAACUAUCUUGACGCCUGUAUCGUCAAGGAUUCUUUAUGCUGGUAGCUGGUUCCUGCCGAAGUUUCCCUCAGGAUAGCAGUAACGUUUUCAGUUUUAUGAGGUAAAGCAAUGAUUAGC
rnacentral:rRNA from 1 species